CAAAAGUUCAGUCAACUGAAUAUAUGUUUCGCCUUCUUCAUGGUGCCGUGGAUCACAUCUGAAGAAUUCCCGAGGUACCUCGUCCAGAACACUCUUUGCUUCACUCAUAAUAUCUUCAGAAUACUGCAGAUUGGAGAGAACUGACCUGAAUACCCACCAGGAUAAUACUGCACACGUUCCAGGAAGCGCUUCAUAAAAGACAGGCAGGAACGUAGGGGCAGAUUUAGCAACAUUGUCCCGCCAUGAGACUCAAGUGUCAGUUGUACUUGGAAGAGGAAGAGUUGUGGUAGUUUGACCAGUUUCUCACCAUGGAAGGCGUUUAGUCACGUAGGGUACUUGAAAUAGAAGUGGGUGAAUAUAUAAUGAAGAAAAUGGACAAAGUUGGACACCAUGCUUAGAUUCGCUACCUCUUCAUCAAAGGAUUAGCUCCUAAGGAAAUCUUCAAGGAUAUGGUGGUCACACUGGGGGACAAUUGUCUUUCCUAUAUAGCAUGGUUAAGAAAUGGGCAGCUAAGUUUAAACGGGUUAGGGGAAACUUGGAACAUGACCCACAUGAAGGAAGGCCUUUGACAGUGAUCACAAGGAGACAGGAACAAAAUUCAUAUAAUCAUGGGAGAUAGACGAGUCACAUUGCACUUAAUAGCCCAACAAUUAGGCAUUUUGAAAGAACGAGUUGGGGCAAUUAUAAUAGAUAAUUUCCAUAUGACCAAGGUUUUGUAAGAGUGCUAAGUACAGAAAGAUGUUUUAGUAAGUGUCAUGGAAGAAAUUGAUUUAAAUUGAGAUUAAAGUAAUACAAAUUUAUGCAUUACAUUAUUACAUUUGGACACAACUCACCUCAUGUGUUUGAGAUGUGGCAUUUUGUUUUAUUAAUUUAGCACCUGUAUAACAAUUAUUUAUGAUGGAAUAGCUAUUCUCUAUGUUUAAUUAAAUUAAUUGUCCAAAAUGCUAGGGUACGUGAAUUUCUCAAAGCUCUCAGAAGGAUGGAUGGACUUAGAAAAGGUUGAGGAACACUGAUCAAUAGUGCUAAACGAGAUAUAUUGAUAUAGAUUUUAUUUACCAUAUUAUACAUUGUUUAAAUAUUAUAAGUGUACAGAUAUUAUAAUAGUGUACAGACAUUACUGCUAAGAUCAAGUUGUUGAAGUGGCCCAUUCUGCCCACUCCUUUUUCUCAGAACUUCUCACUGGCUCCUUUUCCCACAGUGCAACUCCACAAGAGCUAGAAAGAAGACAAAAAAAGAAAGAAAAGGAAAGGGAUGGAAGAGAAGAAAAAAAGAUUAUUAUGAAGAAAAGAGGAAGAUGGAGAAGAGGCAAGAAAUCACGCAAGAGAGGAAGAUAAAAAUAGCAGCCUUCUGUUAGGACCACCACUUUACUCCUUUAGUAUGGGUGUUCUUACUGCAUCACUUGGACAUUUUCACAACUCUCAUCCUCCAUUUUGUCACCUCAUUUGUCAUUUCAUCAUGCAUGUACUCAACUGCCGUCUUGCUCCAUCCUAUUCCAUAAUUCAUUAUUGGUAGAAUACUAUUCCUUAAACCUCUUCAGACAUCAUUUUUCUCUGGUAACUCAUGCAAGUGAUCCCAUGAUACUUGUAUGCCUACCUUUCUUGGUCCUCUCGCUUUUAAUUCUCCUUUCAUGUCACAAUGUUUACAUACCACUGGCCACAAUAACUUAACUCUUUCUUCAUUAUAUAUGGUGUAAGUAAUAUUUAGUAUAUAUAAAUACAGUGGUUUAUGGUAAGUUUCCCAGGACAAUGGUACCAUCAAAUACUUGUUAGGCAGAAAGGAAAAGUGGUAGGCAAUUUUUUGUAUUCCAAGCUGUAGGCACAGGAGAAUAAUAGCUCAUUAUGACUUUCCACAUGCUUAACUGCUAUGUCCUGUGCCUACCACCAAAGAUAAGAAAGUAUCAUCUUACCAUCUCCUUUGUGUCCAAACUAAAAUCUGUUGGACACUAAAAUCUGUUAAGAUCAUCCUAUUCUGAAGGACUUGACUAUUACAAA